GGAAGAACCUUGUUAAAUGGACAGGGAUAACUACUGGAGGUGACAGAAGACACGUGCAGGUUUCAGGAAGGACAGCAGAACUGCCGGUAAAUACGAACCUACCCUUCCCAUUGCAGGUUCGGCGUUUGUGCCCUACCCUUGCCUGCCCAGCCUUCCUUCCCCCUCACACUCGCUGCUACCCACUGACCGAGGCGCUGAGCAGAAGUAGCAAUUGCUUACCGGCCUGCAGCCCGGCCCCGAGGCUCCCAGCCCUGCCAGCCCCGGCCCACCACACUCCUCUUGCCGGGGCACCUCUCUAAUCACCCCCCAGCCCGGGGAGGGAGCACUGACUGGGGUGGCCCGGCCGCAGGGUGAAGUCACCCGGUGACCCUGUCACCAAAAGGCCUCACCGUUUUUGGCAAGCCCAGCAGAACAGGGAUUCCCAACUGCUCAGCUCCUUCCAAGGCAAAGCUCCCUGGCUGGGAAAGGCCUCUGGUACAGUGUAUCCCACUGUCACCGCUUCAGAGCGAUCCACUGAGCUGGGAUUGGAACACACUGUGGAAGUGAUCCCACUCCUGACACCCUGCCAGCUAUCACAAGAUGCACAUUCACAGCUGCAAUAUAAUGUGGUUUCACUGAAGUCAGUAAUCUUAGGACCAGAUUCUCAAACCGAGAUCCAGCAGACAUUUGCAGGAAACAUAUCCCCUGUCUUGUAGAGCUCAUAGUCCUCAAUCCUUUCUGGAGGAGACUUCCUCUCCUACCAGCAAGGAUCAACUGCCGACAUCACCUGCUACUUUUCCUCCAUGCCUUAAGUGCUCAUCUCAACGCAGAACACAUCAAUUCCCAGAUCUGGAAGUCUUAAGCCCUCAGUUCUCGCUUAUUAGGGCUCCUAAUCACUGGGCUGUUCUCAUGGGGAAAAAUCCCCACCCCACCCCUCCUUUGAAGGCAUUUCACUUUGCAUAAAAAUGCACUAGGCCGGGGGAAGGAGAAGGAAGGAACGAGACUAUUAAGUCUGCUGGUUGCGGUGCUUGCCAAAGCCUGGAGCUCCCAUCUCCCAGUCAGCGCUCAGAAGCAGAUUUAAUCAGGUUCCCACCAAGUCUUCCUUCACUCAAGAGAAAAAACGUUCUGCACGAAAAAGAGGGCAGGAGAUGAAGUGGGCUCUUGAGAUAUGGUUUUAAAGAAGAAAAAAGUACUGGCCAGAUUCAGACAGACUCUCGCACAGGAAGCUCAUGCAAGUCUGAAGACUACAGAGGAGGCUGCUUCACAGCUGACCAUGUGGUGACAAAGCAGUAGGAUAAGAGGAUGGCCAAUUGGAAAAGAAAGUAAUUUUCUGUCCCCAACUACAACUGACCUGUUGGGACCAAUACUGGAAGUGAGCCACUGCACGGAGCAGCGUGACCCCUUGGGAGAAAGGACCAUAG
ensembl:lncRNA